AUGGAGGAGGGGGUGGAGGGGAGCGGCGGCGGCGGGGGGCUCGGGCGGAAGAUCCCGGCGGGGGAGGUGGAGCUGAAGGAGAAGUCGGGGACGGCGUGGAGCCACUCGUUCCUGAACCAGAAGCCAUGGCACCCGCUCUCGUACCCGAACCAGCGCCGCAAGUGGAUCGCCGAGCAGAUCCACACCAACCGCGCGCGCCGCGACGAGGAGGUGCAGCGCGAGUUCGCGCAGGAGCAGGAGUUCUUCCGCCAGACCGCCCUCUUCUCCAAGAAGGACAAGGAGAAGAUGGAGAUAAUGAAAGCUGUGAGUUUCAUGUAUGUCCGCCCACCUGGAUACAAUCCAGAGAGUGCAAAGGCUGCUGAAAUUCAAGAUGAGAAGAAGAAGCUGGAUCAAGGCGAUGCCACCGAAGAUGCUGUAGCUGCAAAUACCUCUUCAAUGCCUGAUGGCCCAGAGAAGAAAAAGAGUAGGCCGAAAGAUGUGUUUGGCCGUUCAUUGCCAACAGAGCAAGAAUUUGAAGUUCUGAAAAAUGCUCCAAGAUUGGACACAGGUGCUCCUGCUAGACCUAAACCAUUUGGAGUCGAAGUUCGUAAUGUUAGAUGUUUAAGAUGUGGAAACUUCGGCCAUCAGAGUGGUGACCGGGAAUGUCCCAUGAAGGAUAUUAUCAUGCCGAAUGAGGAGAGCCGAUUGAAAAGGGACGAUCCACUUACAGCAAUAAAGGCACAGACUGAUUCGAGUGAGCCUUUGAAGUGGGAGCUUAAGCAAAAGCCUGGCAUGAGCCCUCCUCGAGGUGGAUAUAACCCUGAUGAUCCUAAUCAGCAGAUUGUAGCAGAAGAGAUAUUUGAUGAAUAUGGAGGAUUUCUCGGCGAUAUUGACAUUCCGGCUCUCCUUACCAACUUCUCCACGAGUAAAUCAAAGAAACGCUCCAAGAGUAAAAGCAGGCGCAGGCAGUCUGAGCCUGCUGCUCAUGUAGAAUCUGGAAGACAUCAUAGCAGUCAUCAUUCAUCCUCAGAUCCGGAACCUGAGAAGAGCAACAGGGCGUCAGGAAGCAAGAGAAAGAAAAAAUAUUGUUCUGACCCAUCCUCGUAUUCUGAUUCUGAGGCGGAAGCUGGGAAAGGAAAAGCCAAGCAGAAGUCAAAGCACAGGCACAGGAAGAAACACCUGCUAGAGUCCUCUUCUGAAUCAGAAGUUGAAGUUGACACAAGAAGGCAUCCAAAGAGGGAGCACAGGAAGAAAAAGAAGAAAGAGGAGAUGGAAAUUGCCCCAGUUUCCUCCUCCAGAGAUAAAGGAUAUACAAUAAGCAAGAGGCCUUCGAGGCGAUCGAGGGAGAAGCAACCCUACAGUGACUCAAGUUCUUCUGAGAGCGAGCAGCAGCAUCCAACACGAUGGCAGGACAAGCAAUCCCACAGUGACUCGAGUUCUUCCGAAAGCAAGCGGCAUUCAAGGAGAUCAAGGGAAAAGAGACAUCACAAAAUACCAGAUUUUCCCGUGAGCAAUAGGUCUUCACGGAAAUCGGAUGAGAAGUGGCACUAUACUGAUUCAAGCGCACGUGAAAGUGAUAGACAUUCAAGGAAACCAAGAGAAAAAUCGCGCUACUCUGAUCCAAGUGCUUCUGAGUAUUCAGAUUCUGAUCGGCCUUCACGGAGAUCGAAUGAGAAGCGACACUAUACUGACUUGAGCACACGUGAAAGUGAUAGGCAUUCAAGGAAACCGAGGGGGAAAUCACGCUGCUCUGAUCUAAGUGCUUCUGAGUAUUCAGAUUCUGAUCGGCGUAAUAGUCAUCGCCGUCGUCGAAGAAAAUGA
rnacentral:rRNA from 1 species